rnacentral:misc_RNA from 1 species
UAUACUAAACUCAAUACAUAAUCCGGUUAAACGAUCCAAAAAAAUAAUCAUGAUCGUUUAUGAACGUGGAAUUGAUGCUUCUAAAAGACGAUCAACCCUAAAAGAAAAACGUAAACCUGGAUCAUACUCAAUUCAAGUAAGAUCAAUACCAAUGCCGAUCUUCAUUUCAUCACAAUAAUCAAAGCAUAAACAAGAAUUGAAGAACAUAAUUAUAGAGACAAAUACGUAAAAUCUACGAGGAAAUCAAAAAGUACCAGGCGCAAGAAUGGAUGAUAGAG